rnacentral:rRNA from 1 species
AUUGAACGCUGGCGGCAUGCCUAACACAUGCAAGUCGAACGGAGAUAGGGGCAACCUUAUUUCAGUGGCGGACGGGUGAGGAAUGCGUCGGAAUCUGCCCUAUGGUGGGGGAUAACACAGGGAAACUUGUGCUAAUACCGCAUAAUGUCGAGAGACCAAAGCAGGGGACCGCAAGGCCUUGCGCGAUAGGAUGAGCCGACGCCCGAUUAGCUUGUUGGUAGGGUAAUGGCCUACCAAGGCGACGAUCGGUAGCUGGUCUGAGAGGAUGAUCAGCCACACUGGGACUGAGACACGGCCCAGACUCCUACGGGAGGCAGCAGUGGGGAAUAUUGGACAAUGGGCGCAAGCCUGAUCCAGCCAUGCCGCGUGAGUGAAGAAGGCCUCGGUU